GAUGAACGCUGGCGGCGUGCCUAAUACAUGCAAGUCGAGCGAAUGGAUUAAGAGCUUGCUCUUAUGAAGUUAGCGGCGGACGGGUGAGUAACACGUGGGUAACCUGCCCAUAAGACUGGGAUAACUCCGGAAAACCGGGGCUAAUACCGGAUAACAUUUUGAACCGCAUGGUUCGAAAUUGAAAGGCGGCUUCGGCUGUCAAUUAUGGAUGGACCCGCGUCGCAUUAGCUAGUUGGUGAGGUAACGGCUCACCAAGGCAACGAUGCGUAGCCGACCUGAGAGGGUGAUCGGCCACACUGGGACUGAGACACGGCCCAGACUCCUACGGGAGGCAGCAGUAGGGAAUCUUCCGCAAUGGACGAAAGUCUGACGGAGCAACGCCGCGUGAGUGAUGAAGGCUUUCGGGUCGUAAAACUCUGUUGUUAGGGAAGAACAAGUGCUAGUUGAAUAAGCUGGCACCUUGACGGUACCUAACCAGAAAGCCACGGCUAACUACGUGCCAGCAGCCGCAGUAA
rnacentral:rRNA from 1 species